UUUGAUAUAGUAAAUUGUGAAUUUAUUUUCCGUUAAU
rnacentral:tRNA from 1 species